rnacentral:rRNA from 1 species
GACGAACGCUGGCGGCGUGCUUAACACAUGCAAGUCGAACGGAAAGGCCCUGCUUUUGUGGGGUGCUCGAGUGGCGAACGGGUGAGUAACACGUGAGUAACCUGUCCUUGACUGUGGGAUAACUUCAGGAAACUGGGGCUAAUACCGGAUAGGAGCUCCUGCUGCAUGGUGUGGGUUGGAAAGUUUCGGCGGUUGGGGAUGUACUCGCGGCUUAUCAGCUUGUUGGUGGGGUAGUGGCUUACCAAGGCUUUGACGGGUAGCCGGCCUGAGAGGGUGACCGGCCACAUUGGGACUGAGAUACGGACCAGACUCCUACGGGAGGCAGCAGUGGGAAAUAUUGCACAAUGGGCGGAAGCCUGAUGCAGCAACGCCGCGUGCGGGAUGACGGCCUUCGGGUUGUAAACCGCUUUCGCCUGUGACGAAGCGUGAGUGACGGUAAUGGGUAAAGAAGCACCGGCUAACUACGUG